UAAGUCCCGCAACGAGCGCAACCCCUAUUCUUAGUUGCCAGCAUGUAAUGAUGGGGACUCUAAGAAGACUGCCUGCGCAAGCAGAGAGGAAGGAGGGGACGACGUCAAGUCAUCAUGGCCCUUACGUCCAGGGCUACACACGUGCUACAAUGGGAGGUACAGAGGGUCGCUACACGGUAACGUGAUGCCAAUCUCAAAAAGCCUCUCUCAGUUCGGAUUGAGGUCUGCAACUCGACCUCAUGAAGCUGGAAUCGCUAGUAAUCGCGCAUCAGCAAUGGCGCGGUGAAUACGUUCCCGGACCUUGUACACACCGCCCGUCAAGCCACGAAAGUUGAGAGCGCCCGAAGUCGCUAGUCCAA
rnacentral:rRNA from 1 species